GCCGUAGGGCGCGAGCGUUGUCCGGAUUUAUUGGGCGUAAAGAGCUCGUAGGCGGCUCGGUAAGUCGGGUGUGAAAUUUCGAGGCUCAACCUCGAAACGCCACCCGAUACUGCUGUGGCUAGAGUCCGGUAGGGGAGCGUGGAAUUCCUGGUGUAGCGGUGAAAUGCGCAGAUAUCAGGAGGAACACCAGCGGCGAAGGCGGCGCUCUGGGCCGGUACUGACGCUGAGGAGCGAAAGCGUGGGGAUCAAACAGG
rnacentral:rRNA from 1 species